rnacentral:miRNA from 1 species
CUCAAUGCAAACCCUGCAGU